rnacentral:lncRNA from 1 species
GGGCCGAGUGCGGGAGAGGACAUGCGUCUUUAUCCCACAGCAGAGGGAAACCUCCCCAGGCCUCUAGUCCAGGCCUGACCCCUAUCGGGGUGGCCUUUGGGAGGGAGGGUCCCUUGGGAUGCUAGGUAAAGAUCGGGGAGGUCAGGGCGGCAGGAGCCGGGCUGGCAGGAGGCUGACGGUCCCUGCAGGUGCAUGAAGGUGCAGGAGAACUUGCAAGACCCCAAGAAUGGAUAUGCCUCCUUAAACGUGUACCCUGUGUGCCCCGCUCACCUUACCCGAGACCCAGCCCCAGCCCCGGUCACAGAGGGAGAAAUUUGAAUAUAAGACACAAUGGAAAUAGCAAAACCAGUUCCACUCUCCUUAGUCUUCUAAACAGAAAGAGGGAUUCGAUGUGGGAAGCAGUAAAAGUUUAUUCCACACCAGGAGAUUUUAUGUUUUUGCCCCUAGAGCACUUUUCCCCUUGUUUUACUCGUGUUUUGGAAAUCUAGAAGACUUGUGAGUAUGGAGGAAAACAAUGAAAACAGCCUAACUGUUGGAUAUUUUUAAAAGAAAAUUCAGCAGAGCAGUUUACCCCCUUCCAGAUGUGGUUUCGCAUGGGCACAGUGGGACGGAAACUAGAUUCUCAACAGCAAAAGCCUUAUUUUCACUGAGAGUGGUUGAAGGAAAAUUAUUGUAUGCUGUUAAAAGAACUGAAAAACAGCAUGUGAAUCUCAUCAGCUGGAUAUAUUGUGACAACAUCAGCUGAUUGUUAUGCAUCUCAAAAUAUGAAACUCCAUCAAUUUUUCUAAAUUUGCUUUUGCACAUCAGUGGAAUAUCUAUCUAUCUAUCUAUCUAUCUAUCUAUCUAUCUAUCUAUCUAUCUAUCUAUCUAUCUAUCAUCAAGUCUAGAAAGCUGAGAAGGAAAGCAGAGACCAAAAGCCCAGCUGGAAGGGCACCUGUUGGCUGCAUCUGUUGACUGCACCUGUUAGUAGCAUCAGGAGGCACACUUGCACAAGGUGUGGAGUAGUCUGGAGGCUUGUGGGAAAGGGAGAUGAUCUGAUCGACACCACCAGUCUUCCCGCAUCCUCAGCACCACCUCCAUCCUCAUCGGAUGUAGAUACACUAUCCAGCCUCAGUGACUCGCUCCAGCUCACGCACCUGCUACAUGGACAUCGUGGAGGCCAAGCUUCUGAUCUUGGCAGGACAGUGGCUCCGCACAGCUGAUCAUUUGACAUCCCAGGACCUAGGGAUGGACAUGGUGAAAUAUAACAUUCUGAUCUGGCCCUAAAUCUGCUGCUUGGUCACAGAAGGCCAAGGGAAGGCUUAUGCGGUUAAGGGAAAAAACUCACCCGAAGCACAUCAAGUGUUGUCUGCUGUCAUCAGGCUCUGAGCAGUUCUCUCUACAACGAUGCUUAGAAAACCAGGAAGAAAUACUCCCACCUCCAAGGCUGUGUUGCUAAGUGUGUGUUUCCAGAGUUGCCUUGGGCAAAGUCCGUUGCCCAUCACCACAGCUUCGGGUCAUCGCUGCCACGAGGACUACCCCUUCAGAGGUCAGCUGCACCCAGCACCCAUCAAAACCACACGGAGAUCACCCAUGACAAACGGGGAACAGACAACUUUGCACGUUCAUGCCCCAGAUGUUAGUGCAGGUGCUCUCGGGUGAUGAGCUUAAACCUGCCCUGAACUCUCUCUGUGUGUGUUAAAGCUUUCAAAUAUGAAACAUUUCUGCCCUGAGCAGGACAAUAGGUCCACACACCUGACCACGUGAUACCCACGACCCUUUCAAAUAUUUCUAAAAGUUUCAGAUUCUCUAGUUUUCGUUCUUGGCCUUUUGUUGUUGUUGUAACUUGUUUAAAAGGAAGAAGGGAAUCCAUGCUUCCCUGCCUGCUUGGCCUGAGUUGACGUCCUUGCUCUGGGCUGUGAGGUCUACAUACCUGGCCCUGCAAGGUUCAGUCCCACGCAUGGACCUUCUGUGUCUGCAACCUCCCAGCAUCAGCACGAAAAAGCAACCUGCCGUAGAGAGCGGGGGUGUGGUCCAGCAGUCCUGCACCUGCUGGGAUGUGGAUGAGGCGCAUGUUGAGAACAACCCGGUGGGAAAGGCCUACUUUCUCAAGUGCUCCUUCUGGGAAAACAGCCCCAGGUGUUCAGAGACCAGCUGCAGACCAAACGGCAAAGCUGCAGACCAUCCCCCGCCGGCCUUUGUGACCAAGAAGAAACACCCUGUGAGUUAAGUGUCCAGUUAAAACAUGGAGAGGCCAAGGUGAUGGCUGAGCGGCGCUCAGUGUUGGGUCCUUCUGGCUUGGGAAGGGCACGCCCCGUGCCUUGAGCCCUUUGUCACACGUUUUUGUUCCAUGAAACAGAUAAUUGCUGAUUUGGGGACGAUAACCUCAGAUACUAGCUAAACCAUUUUUGAACUUCCCAAGGAGCCUUUACUCGCUGUCAUUUGAUCCCACCCUUCCCGGCUUUUCAUUCCUGAUCCCACUUGUUUACAGUGAAUUUAAUCUCUGUCCUACUGAGGGUUUAGUGGGACAAAUCCCAACCUCCCUGGCCAUGUGACCACAUCAGCUCAGCCCAGAAAAGGGGCUUUAAAUGUGUCUGUCUCUCGAAAGAACAAACAGUCUCAAGGCUUUAAAACUCCCCCUGUAAAGAGUCUUUAAAGGACAUCAGCCCUUGGAGUGAUAGGGGGACCACCCCGGGACAGGAUAAACCAGGUUUU